rnacentral:rRNA from 1 species
GAGUUUGAUCAUGGCUCAGAUUGAACGCUGGCGGCAUGCCUUACACAUGCAAGUCGAACGGCAGCACGGGGGCAACCCUGGUGGCGAGUGGCGAACGGGUGAGUAAUACAUCGGAACGUGUCCUGUAGUGGGGGAUAGCCCGGCGAAAGCCGGAUUAAUACCGCAUACGCUCUACGGAGGAAAGGGGGGGAUCUUAGGACCUCCUGCUACAGGGGCGGCCGAUGGCAGAUUAGCUAGUUGGUGGGGUAAAGGCCUACCAAGGCGACGAUCUGUAGCUGGUCUGAGAGGACGACCAGCCACACUGGGACUGAGACACGGCCCAGACUCCUACGGGAGGCAGCAGUGGGGAAUUUUGGACAAUGGGCGCAAGCCUGAUCCAGCAAUGCCGCGUGUGUGAAGAAGGCCUUCGGGUUGUAAAGCACUUUUGUCCGGAAAGAAAACCUUCGCCCUAAUAUGGUGGGGGGAUGACGGUACCGGAAGAAUAAGCACCGGCUAACUACGUGCCAGCAGCCGCGGUAAUACG